AUUAGAAAUGAAACCAACGAAUGACUAAAUUAACGUGCAUAUGUUUUAACUUUUAUCUACUAGAUUUUAAAGUCCUUAAGAGCAAGAAAUGUCAUGGUGUUCCAACAACAGCCUAUAUCUACUUGCAAUGUGACUUUGGACAAGAAUACUGAGAUUAGGAGGAUAAGCGACUUGCCAGCUAUCACGCAGAGACUUUGAAUUGAAUAGAAUGGAUUUGCCAACAUGAAGAUUAUUUUAGGAUCCUCUCUCUAGAGUUCUCUUACAGUUUGCCUGGUAGUGACAGAACGUUUGAGCUCAGCGGGAUUGUGGUGUUCAGCAAGGUCACUCUCUCCAAUGUACAGGUCUCAUGUCACUCAGUAAUUAUAAGGCUUGAAGCCAUAUCACCAACCAGAUUCUACUGAGAGGCAAUGCAAUUCAAUAAAAACACUCUUAUAAUUUUGCAGAUUUAAGUCUGUCAACUGAAAAAGAAGCACAACCUAAGAGUUGAGGAUUAUGUCUCAAUCAGCAAAUUUACUAAGUACUGAAGCCCAGGAUACAGCCACUCAGAUAACUCUGAGGAAUUGUUCCGAAGAGGUAAGGGAGGAGCCAGGAUACAGAGGAGUUUUGCACAAAACACCCUAAAACCACUAUGUACUCAGAACAUCAGAAGAUUGCUGCUAAUUAAAGAGAACCAGACAUGUUAAAUUAAUGAAUUUAAUGCUUUUCUAUGGGAAGAUCCAAUUGUCUGGGCUUAUUGAAAUUAUCCUUUGAUAUGCACCUUACCUAUCUAGGGUCAGUAUCCUGUUUUUUUCCAUACUGAAUUCCCCUAAGGAUAUACUGUCAGGGGUCACUGCAAUGGCUGAUACUUGAUGGCCUCAACAUCCUUUGUUUACUGAAAUGGCAGGUGACAUUUUUUUUUGUCCACAAGUCUGCAUGUAUAGAUUGCACAUACAGCAAAAAAUUAUAGGAGUAUACUUUGAAUCAUUAAUAAAACUUGAGACUCUGGGUUGAACAGAGAACAUGAGUGCUGAUUGCUGAGUCUGAAAGAUAGUAAAUGUCAGAGUAUCAGCAAUGAAAUUGUCAGCCACAGAGUCUUUAUAAAAAUACCAACAUAGAAAUCACAGGGCUUUGUUUUGCUUCCCUGUCUACUGCAGGUGGCUGACAGGAUGUAACUCUGAAAGGCUUUCUUAGGAAAUUUUUGUUUCUCUUUUUUGUUUGUUUUUCUCUUCCUGUGCCUCCACACAGGGCUCUGUGACCUGGUGCCACCUGCCUCAUAUCCAAGAGCCCACAGAAAGGCUGCCCUUUUUUGGUAGAAGGCUUCUGGGGCAUAUUGACUUACAAAGGAAAUAGCUUGUGAAAGAAAAGUGCAUGCA